rnacentral:rRNA from 1 species
AUUGAACGCUAGCGGCAGGCCUUACACAUGCAAGUCGAACGGAGCGGCGAACGGGUGAGUAAUGUAUCGGAACGUGCCACGUAGCGGGGGAUAACUACGGGAAAGCGGAGCUAAUACCGCAUACUAUUAGAGCGGCCGAUGUCGGAUUAGCUAGUUGGUGGGGUAACGGCUCACCAAGGCGACGAUCCGUAUCUGGUCUGAGAGGACGACCAGCCACACUGGGACUGAGACACGGCCCAGACUCCUACGGGAGGCAGCAGUGGGGAAUUUUGGACAAGGGGGGAAACCCUGAUCCAGCCAUCCCGCGUGUGUGAUGAAGGCCUGCGGAUUGUAAAGCACUUUUAGCAGGAAAGCGUUACCUGCAGAAUAAGCACCGGCUAACUACGUGCCAGCAGCCGCGGUAAUUC